GACGAACGCUGGCGGCGUGCUUAACACAUGCAAGUCGAACGGAAAGGCCCUGCUUUUGGGGGGUGCUCGAGUGGCGAACGGGUGAGUAACACGUGAGUAACCUGCCCUUGACUUUGGGAUAACUUCAGGAAACUGGGGCUAAUACCGGAUAGGAGCUCCUGCUGCAUGGGGGGGGUUGGAAAGUUUCGGCGGUUGGGGAUGGACUCGCGGCUUAUCAGCUUGUUGGUGGGGUAGUGGCUUACCAAGGCUUUGACGGGUAGCCGGCCUGAGAGGGUGACCGGCCACAUUGGGACUGAGAUACGGCCCAGACUCCUACGGGAGGCAGCAGUGGGGAAUAUUGCACAAUGGGCGGAAGCCUGAUGCAGCAACGCCGCGUGCGGGAUGACGGCCUUCGGGUUGUAAACCGCUUUCGCCUGUGACGAAGCGUGAGUGACGGUAAUGGGUAAAGAAGCACCGGCUAACUACGUG
rnacentral:rRNA from 1 species